rnacentral:lncRNA from 1 species
GAUGGGCUCUAGCUGCAGUCUGGCUUCACUGGUCUGGUGUAGAACAGGCUCUCUGGAGGCGGUUUGUAACUGUGGUCACAAAAAUCAAUGUUCUGGGAGAACGGGAAGCAGCUCCAUUUUUUGGGGGCCCUUUACACAGCUCAAGGUCUGGGUCCCAGGGUCCACCUUCAUGUUCCACCAAUGAGUUUGUUCACAGGGGGUGGAGUGUGUAGGGGAUAUCCUGAUAUGUGUGUAAGGAAUGCAUUGUGUGAAUCUGUGUUUGUAUGUGUAAGGGCUGCAAGGUGUGUUUCUGUGUAUGUACGAGAUGCAUUGAGUGUGUGUAAGGGGUGCAUUGAGUGUGUGUAAUGAAUGCAUUGUGUGUUUCUGUGUGUGUAAGGGAUGCAUUGUGUGUAA